CCUACGGGUGGCAGCAGUGAGGAAUAUUGGUCAAUGGGCGAGAGCCUGAACCAGCCAAGUCGCGUGAGGGAGUACUGCCCUAUGGGUUGUAAACCUCUUUUGUCGGGGAGCAAAAGCCGGACGUGUCCGGCUGUGAGAGUACCCGAAGAAAAAGCAUCGGCUAACUCCGUGCCAGCAGCCGCGGUAAUACGGAGGAUGCGAGCGUUAUCCGGAGUUAUUGGGUUUAAAGGGUGCGCAGGCGGAUUUUUAAGUCAGCGGUAAAAUCGUGGGGCUCAACCCCAUCCAGCCGUUGAAACUGGGGAUCUAGAGAGUGCGAGGGGUAUGCGGAAUGCGUGGUGUAGCGGUGAAAUGCAUAGAUAUCACGCAGAACCCCGAUUGCGAAGGCAGCAUACCGGUGCACAACUGACGCUCAGGCACGAAAGCGUGGGUAUCGAACAGGAUUAGAUACCCGUGUAGUC
rnacentral:rRNA from 1 species